ensembl:lncRNA
AGCUUACACAACACACUCUGCUUUCUGAGUCUCUAGUCCCCAGACGUGUUCCUGGGGGAAUGGAACCUCAGUCCAUCCAACUGCUAUUAUUUUGAAGAAAGUGCCAGCAAUAGAUGUCAGAGCCUGGAAAAGGACCACAGGUCGUUAGGAGAGAACUUGAGGAGCAACAGAGAAAAAUUUCAAACGCUACAGACAGACCAUCCCUUUGGUCAUCUUCGUGGCCUUCCUCUGGACCUACCCCAACUCCUUUCUUGAGUAGAGGAUGCCAGGACUGGAUGCAGUAAUCCAGAUUGGGCCUCCAGAGGGCAGAGGGGUCUACCAGCUCCAUUCCCCUGCUGGCCACCCCUCUUCUAAUGCAGCCCAGGAGUUCUGUCUAAAGGGUGUUGAAUGUAGAAACAUUGUUACCAUUUUCUUACCUCCAUAACAA